GCCAGACUCCUACGGGAGGCAGCAGUGGGGAAUAUUGCACAAUGGGGGAAACCCUGAUGCAGCAACGCCGCGUGAGUGAAGAAGUCAUUCGUGAUGUAAAGCUCUAUCAGCAGGGAAGAAAAUGACGGUACCUGACUAAGAAGCCCCGGCUAACUACGUGCCAGCAGCCGCGGUAAUACGUAGGGGGCAAGCGUUAUCCGGAUUUACUGGGUGUAAAGGGUGCGUAGACGGGAAAUUAAGUUAGUUGUGAAAUCCCUCGGCUUAACUGAGGAACUGCAACUAAAACUGAUUUUCUUGAGUACUGGAGAGGAAAGUGGAAUUCCUAGUGUAGCGGUGAAAUGCGUAGAUAUUAGGAGGAACACCAGUGGCGAAGGCGACUUUCUGGACAGUAACUGACGUUGAGGCACGAAAGUGUGGGGAGCAAACAGGAUUAGAUACCCCAGUAUAA
rnacentral:rRNA from 1 species